rnacentral:rRNA from 1 species
AUGGCGAUUGAACCUCUCCGUGACAAUCUGGACGGCAUCGCAGCAACCGACCAACCAUACGAUGGUGAUUCCUCUUCCGAGCAGCAACUCACCAUGUACAACUACGACCUGAGUAGUCCACACUCCACAGUUCUUAACCCAGCCAACCAACCAAGCACAUAUCUGCUUGGUGGAGUCACCAGCCCUGGGUUGUGCAGCGUCAACAGCAGCCCUGGACAAAACCAAGUUCAGAUUGCUGCAGGGCGUAGCCCUGAGCACCACCAGAUCAGAUCAAACAAUGCUCUUCACUACAUAAGUCAGAUGCUGAUGGAAGACGUCGACGAGGGGGUCGACGUAUGCCAAGGGGAGACUGCCCUCCAGGCCGCUGAGAAGCCAUUCCGUGACAUUCUUGGGGAGGUGUACGCAUCAGCUACUGACUGGCCGCCAUUGCAUAGAAACAACAAACCAGACAACGCUGAUAAGAGUGGGACCAGCCGUUACAAGAGGCUCAGGACCACUAGCUUCAGUAAUGACUAUUCCAGUUACAAUGUGUUACAGCCCUUAGCAACCCCGUUGAGUCCAUAUACCUGCAACAGGAGUCUUUUUCUACCAGACCAUCCAUUGGUAAGUGUUGGAUGGACUUCCAAAUCUGGCUUCCCUGCCUUGCAUUGUCAGAGAGGUGUUGAGGAGGAAAAAAUGUGUGCUCCAAGUAUUGAUAAGCUGGUGAUAUAUUUAAAGAAUGACGUACUUUAUAUUUCCCAACUGACUACGAAGGUAAAAGUAGUAGAGAGGAGCGAAAAUGCAAUCUUUGAGGUGGCAGACCAAAGGGGCUGGGAUAUCUUUCAAGAUAGGAGCAAUACACAUCAUGCCAUCACAACUUGUGCCAUAAUUCGAAACGAAAAUUUCGACCGAGUUCUGCUAUGCUAUGGUCGGAAGAGUUUCGACCGGAGAACAAGACUGCGAGAAAGGAUGGCAGGGGAAGGAAACAAUAACUCACUGAAAGGCCGGAGCAAAGGACGUCUGAAGCUAUGGCAGAGGAAGCAACCGAGGAGAGAGUUGGUUGAUCUCAGGAAUCUCCUCAUCAAUUGCGCAGAAGCUGUGGCAGAAGGCAACCACCUGUUGGCCAGUGAAAUCCUAAAGAAGAUAGGGCAACACUCCUCACCAGAUGGUACUUGUACCCAGAGACUGGCAUUUUACUUGGUGGAUGGCCUCGAGGCACACUUGGCUGGGACCAGGAGUCAGGUUUAUCAAAAUCUCAUGGAAAGGCGAACAAGUACCACAGACUGGUUAGAGGCUUACAGUCUUUUUAUUGCAUCUUGCCCUUUCGACAGGGCGUCAUACCACUUUGCCAACCAAGCUAUUCUUGAUGUCUCACAAGGGCAUCCAAGAGUGCACAUCAUUGAUUUCGGCAUCGGCUUCGGCUUUCAGAGGCCAUUAAUGAUUCAGAGGUUUGCAAAGCAAGAAGAGGGAGCCCCUAAGCUUCGGAUCACAGGUAUAGACGUUCCCCAGCCAGGCUUACGCCCAUGCGAAAUGAUCAAGGAGACAGGGAAACGGUUGGCUGAUUAUGCAAACAUGUUCAAGGUACCUUUUCAGUAUCAGGGCAUUGCCGCUUCAAGAUGGGAGACCAUUAAAAUUGAGGAUCUUAACAUUGAGGAGGGUGAAGUCCUCAUAAUCAACUGCAUGUUCCGGAUGAAGAAUCUCGGUCAUGAAACCAAAGCCAUAAAUAGCACAAGGGACGAGGUGCUCAAAACUAUGAGGAGGAUGAACCCAAAGAUUUUUAUUUCUGGCACCGUGAAUGGGUUACGCAGUUCUCCCUUCUUCAUACAACGUUUCAAAGAGGUUAUGUUCCAUUACUCUUCAAUGUUUGACAUGAUGGAUGCAAAUGUUCCACGGGAAAAUGAAGCAAGAAAGACGAUCGAGAGGAUCCUCUUUGGGCGGGAUGCACUCAACAGCAUAGCAUGUGAGGAUGCAGAAUGGACCGAGAGGCGGGAAAGUUACAGGCAGUGGCAAGCAAGGUUCCUCAAGGCUGGGUUCCAGCAGCUUCCUGUUGAUCCAGCCAUCUUAAACAAAAUAGUACAAAAGAAGAACACACUUUAUCAUGAGGAAUUAUUUGCUGUUGAAGAUGGUGGUUGGCUACUGCAAGGAUGGAAAGGGAGAGUAAUUUAUGCUAUAUCCAAAUGGAAACCUAAUGAAACACAUGAUGAUAAGUAA